rnacentral:lncRNA from 1 species
AGGUUUUUCAUAAGUAGAUCAUAAUAUAUUUUGUUGUGUGAAAAUGACCAUGUCAAUUGUUUUCCUUACUCUUACAAUUUGAUAGGACUUAUUAAUGUAUGUUACAUUAAUUGGUCCUAUGAAUGUGAUUGAGGAUUUACUAUAUGUAAUACUUUAGGUAAGUAAUUGUCUAUGGCGAUAAAACAGAUUAAGUUGACAGUGAAGGAGUAAAAGUAGGCUAGAUUAGUGCAAUGUGUGGUGCGAAGCGCUUGGUACAUAAAUUAAGUUGGAUAAUGAUUAAAAUACGAAGUAAAUUCUGUGGGUGAUAAACCGUGGAUGAUAGUAAUGUAUAGUAGCUAUUACAACUUAAAUUUCAGUUUGUCGAGUUGAUGGAUUUUUACAUUAGAUUGCCAUAGUUGUUUUGUUUUUGAAUAGGUUGCAUUGAAGUUGUGGCAAUGAUUAUACAUUGGCGUUAUUUUUGUUUAACUUUAUAUGUGUUGUAUUAUCGAUUCAAUUUGACCAGUUUUUGAAAUGAAUAACUUAUCACAAAAUAAUAUAUUUUCCCUCUUACUUAUAAAAUUACUGAUAUCAUUACAUAGUUGAAAAAUAUUAGUAUAAUAUAUACGUUCCAACAAAGUUGUAUGUGGAAGUUUAUGUCACAUCUUAUUCACCCGAUCCUACGAAAUAAACAUAAUGAAGUAUAAUUAGAUACAUGUAGAUGAUAUAUUUAAUUGGAUUUGAUUAAUGUGAAAUAAUUUAGAUAUCAUAUCUCACCUAAUACUUUCUUAUAGACGAUAUUCCUUGUGUAUGAUUCUGUCUUCCAAUCUGGUUGUUUUGUCAUAACCAAAACUCUCGUUCUGGUCAUUGAUACUCCUAUAGAGAGUGCCACGUACAAUUGUCCAUAUGAGAAAAUAUGUUGUGGUAGAUACAAUCCAAUAUUUGGAAUUCUUUGUCCUUGUAUUUUAUUUAUCAUCAUUGCAAAACACAGAUGUAUCAGAAACUGCUUUGAAUAAAUUUAAA